CGCCUACAUGAUCCCUCGCCCACCUCACCCCCGCCGCGACCAUCCCCGGCCACUAUUAUUAUCACACAUCACCUACACGCUUUCCCUCUCUCUCCUCUCCCCUGCUUUCCCCAUUCCGCCCGCCGCCGAUUCCUCGCCGGCUUUGAUUCGCUUCCAAUUCCGAUCGCCUGCCGAACCCUAACGAGGGAAGGAAGGAAGGUAGGUUAAUUGGGAGCGCGCUCGCUCAGGCCGGCCCGUGGUUAACUGGUGACGCGCAUGGAGAUCUCGUUCGAGGCGUGGGAGGGCGUGCAGCGGCACGGCCAGGACCUCGCGGACCGCCUCGCGCAGGGCUUCACGGGCCUGCUCCAGGCGCCGCCGCAGUUCCCGUGGCCGCCGGCACCGCACAAACGGAUGCCCUUCGACAUCGACCUCCCCGUCGUCCCCUUCGGCGCCGGACGCGGAGCCCCCGGGAAGGACUUCCCCUUCCCCGCGGCGGCGGUCUCCUCGGUCAUCGACAUCGGCGGAAGGCUCGGACAGGCCGGCGCCGAGCUCGGGGCGUCCGUCGGCGGGGCCGUGCAGCACGCCGUCAGGCAGCUGCCCGUCCCGUUCCGCCAGAUCCGGCGCCGCAAGCAGUCGCCUCAGGCGCCCCUGCCCCCUGCGGCUUCGGUGGGCGAGGGGGCCGUAGGGCUCUCCGUCGGAAGGGCUGCUGCGGAUAGGUGCCCCCUAGAGGCGGCGGCCGCCGCAGCCGCUGCGGCAACUGGGAGCGCGGCCGCGUCGAGCGUCAGUGGUCAUGUUGGCGGAGAUGACUUGGAUGAGGAGGACGAGGGUUUCGGCUGCGAGAUUGGGACUUUUGGAAACUUUAAGAAGGCCAAGGUACGAUCCAACUCGUGGUUGUUUUAUGGAUUCCAGCAUAUCGGUGAUGUUUGCACCUCAAAUUAAGCGCACAAUUAUAUUGGUGAUGUUUGCAUCUCAAAUUAGGCACACAAUCUUAGUUGAGGGCUCAUGUCGUUACCGUACUAGUACACUCUAUGUAUUCAUUCUAGCAACUGGUUUACAUCUCUCUUGGCCUGGUCAUGAUACUUGGAGGAAUUUAGAACCGAGUUAUCAUCUGAUUUACUGUAAUCCUAUUUCUCAAAGUAAAUCUGAUAUCCUCGGAAGGAUCUCAUAUAUAAAUUUAUACAUUGAAGCUAAUACAAUCUUGAAUCUGCAAUUGAAUUGUCCUUUUUCUAUCAAAAAAUUAUAAGACUAUCAUGUACAAUCUUUAAGUGGUGGUACACACAUGAAUCGAAGGGCUUAAAUGCAUGGAUGUACAUCUAAGGUUGUACAUGAAAUAACUAAGCUAAAACUAACCUUCAAUUUUGAAUCAAUCAAAUGUUCUUACUGGACUUGUGGAAUUGUUUUACCUUGGCCAAUUUUCAGUCAUGUUACACUGACCCAGAUGGUGUCAUUCUGCAACAUACUUACCUUCUCUCCUGAUAAUUAUAUAUAGGGUACUGUAAAUAUGUCGGCAACUUACAACACCAGGAGUCAUGACAUCGAGAGUUCUGUUGUUGCACGUGGAGACCUAUGGAGGCUAGAGGCCUCACGUGGUGGUUCAACUUCUGGAAAUGAUACUUCGCCUCUUUACCUUAUUCAGUUGGGGCCUCUACUAUUUGUUCGAGACUCUACACUUCUCUUGCCUGUUCAUCUAUCAAAGCAACACCUGCUUUGGUAUGGUUAUGAUCGCAAGGUACUGAUCCUUUCUUUUGCCUUCUCCCAGAGUGUGAUUUACACUUGAGUAUGAUAAACGUUGUCUUUGGUCAUUUCUUUUGUUAUUAAAUCAUUAAAUAUUGUUUGCUCCUUUGGAUAGGCAAAGUUAUGGUCUUCAUUAUUAAUUAGAGAUCAAAAUUUAGACCAGCUGUACCUUGAUUAAGUUAUGAUUUUCUAGUAUAUUGUGCCUUCUGCCUAUUUGCUGACAUUUUUUUCCUCUUACAUUAUUAAACUUGAUAUUUCGUUACAGAAUGGAGUUCAUUCCCUAUGUCCGGCUAUAUGGUCAAAACAUAGAAGAUGGUUGAUGAUGUCGAUGAUGUGUCUCAAUCCAGUUGCUUGUGUAAGUCUCAUUCUCUUUAAGUUUGUGAAUAUAUUUUAAUCUCAUGGGUUAAGUGAACAAAUCAGUGAUUGUUCUGAUUUUUAUCAAGCAUAAGAGUUUGUUUUAGGUGCAACAGAGGUUAUCUGUAGUCGCCAGUGACCGGUGGGUUCUGUUAGUAUAGAGUAAAGCAACUGACUCUUUUUUGGAGAUUUUCCCUUUUUUUCUGGUAGCCUGAGAGAUAGGCCUGUUCAUUUGGCCUUUAGGUUGGAUGUACUGGGCAUCGGAAUAGUACUUACGAUUAAUUAGCGUACCAUGUUAUUUUCUGCAACUGGUAAGGAGUACAAUAGCCUAACUUGUAUUCUGAAAAUUUAAAAUGUGUUCAUUUAUAAUGUUACUGCGAUGCUUUCAAAAUUGUCACCAGGCAUGGUCCUAGCAUUUCCAGUUAAAUUCGCAUGAUCAUCCUUAUUUCCUUACAAUCUACUUGUGCAUAUGAACUUUGAGUAUUAAUAACACUCUCUUUAUUGCAGUCCUUUAUGGAUCUGCAGUUCCCUAAUGGGCAAUUAACAUAUGUUGCUGGUGAGGGGAUAUCAGCAAGUGGUUUUCUUCCGUUAUUUGGCGGGUUGCUCCAAGCUCAAGGAAAAUAUCCUGGAGAAACAAGAGUGAGCUUUUCUGUCAAGGUUAGUAUUUUAUAUUAUGUUCCCUAUAUUAAUCAAUUUUGGUGUAAAAAUUAGUUAAACCACUCUGGAAGUCACUUGCUUAUAUUAACACGAGAUUAUCAUGCAAGAUCCGCUAGUACCCAGUGAGGCAUGAUACAAUGGUAAUACGUAUUAAAUGCUUAUCAUACAUAAAAACCAAUCCAUGGCUGAUCAGAAAUAUUUUACGUUGUUUGUUGGUCAUAUCAUGCUCACACGUGUUCCGAUAGCAGAUGAGUUCAAUCUGACACUUGUAUUUUUUUUAGAAUAAACGUGGCACAAGGUUCACUCCUAUGUUUCAGUGGCCCGACAAGUCUGUUUCGUUAGGAGUUACUCAACCCUUGGCAUGGAAAAGAUCUGGUCUUAUGGUGAGACCCAGCAUACAAGUCAGGUAGUUUUCUAAUUACUUAUGGACAACACUACAGCAUUUUAAGUUUGGCAACUGUGUAGUUUUUCAUGUUAGUACCUAUUAACCUAUAGAGUCUUUUUAGUACCUUGGCUAAAAGUGAUUAUUUCAUUUUUGCCUAAUUCUUGUUCAUGUGGUGCUAAAAGCUGUGCAUGCUGCAUUCGUCUUAUAAAUGGCAAUACUUGUCAAGUAAUGUUAGAUGGAAUGUUGCCAGAUGCUGAUUUCACUGUUCAUCAAUAGGCUUGCUGUAUGCUCCAUGUUCUUGGUUUCUUUGAAUCCUUUUCUCUGUUUUAACACUUUUUUAAUUGACGUUCUGUUGGCAGUUUGUGCCCUACAUUUGGUGGAAGUGAUCCUGGGGUACGUGCAGAAGUUGUCCAUUCACUGAAAGAGGAAUUGAAUUUGAUGUGUGGCCUCUCUUGCACAAGACAUCCAUCAGCUUUUACCGCGCUCUCUGUAAGCUCUCCUUGCCUAAACAUUUCUGAUUGGUUCUUUCUAGGACUCUAGUUUUGCUAUAACUGAGUCUCUACAUGGCAGAUUGGCCGGUCCAAGUGGAAUGGUCAAGUGGGCAGUUCUGGAGUGGUAAUCACCUUGGAAACACCUCUUAAUAACAUUGGAAGGCCAGCUUUAUCCGUUCAACUGAAUGGCGGCUUUGAGUUGUGAUGUCUUGGCUUCUGCGCUGAAGUUGUACAUACCAGUGUAUAUAUUGCCAUCACUAAUGUCCGUCCUCCAUAGUCAUUGAUCGGCUGCUGAGCUGGUCAACCUAGAAAGUU
rnacentral:lncRNA from 1 species